GAUGAACGCUGGCGGCGUGCUUAACACAUGCAAGUCGAACGGAAAGGCCGAAGCUUGCUUCGGUACUCGAGUGGCGAACGGGUGAGUAACACGUGGGUGAUCUGCCCUGUACUUCGGGAUAAGCUUGGGAAACUGGGUCUAAUACCGGAUAUGACAAUCCCUUGGAUGGGGUUGUGGAAAGCUUUUGCGGUUUGGGGUGAGCUCGCGGCCUAUCAGCUUGUUGGUGGGGUAAUGGCCUACCAAGGCGUCGGCGGGUAGCCGGCCUGGGAGGGUGUACGGCGACAUUGGGACUGAGAUACGGCCCAGACUCCUACGGGAGGCAGCAGUGGGGAAUAUUGCACAAUGGGCGCAAGCCUGAUGCAGCGACGCCGCGUGGGGGAUGACGGCCUUCGGGUUGUAAACUCCUUUCGCAACCGACGAAGCUUUUUGUGACGGUAGGUUGAGAAGAAGCACCGGCUAACUACGUG
rnacentral:rRNA from 1 species